rnacentral:antisense_RNA from 1 species
AUAUCGAGCUAUUACUUUCAUUACAAAA